rnacentral:lncRNA from 1 species
UAACUCGCAGAUAGAAAUCCCUUGGACAUUGCUCGUGGCUUGCACAUGAUGAACCUUCCCCACCCAAAAUAACUCGUAGACACACGGGCAUGACAUGUGUUCCUUUUCCCUAACAUACAGGCAAGUUCCGCAUGAGACUGAGUUACGGGCAAAACACGCAAGGGCGCACAAGAGUGUUUUCUCUGCCUGUACUGCAAGCCCAAUGUGAACCCGUAGACAUAGAUAGAUUAUGAUCAAGUGACACUAACUAGCAAACUGCGCCAUCUGCAAACCAUCACAUCCCCUACAGCUCCUCUCUACCACAUGGAGCACCACAGUCGUGUCGAACCUAUUUUGGUUAGCCAUAUAGUUGAUCAAUGACCAUUUUCCUUUGCAUGUGAUCUAAUAUAUCACAUUGAUCCAAUCUCACCUAUUUAAAUCUUCUCCCUUCCUCCAUUCUCUUCUAUUCUUUAAAAGAGAAAACCCGAGAGAGUCGAGAGAAAUUUAGUGAGGAAACUGAGUGAAUUUUCAACAAGAAGGGCUGUGUGUUGCUGCUGCUAUAACCUUUGUUGCU